AUGCACGCUGGCGGCGUGCCUAAUACAUGCAAGUCGAGCGAACGGACGAGAAGCUUGCUUUUCUGAUGUUAGCGGCGGACGGGUGAGUAACACGUGGAUAACCUACCUAUAAGACUGGGAUAACUUCGGGAAACCGGAGCUAAUACCGGAUAAUAUUUUGAACCGCAUGGUUCAAAAGUGAAAGACGGUCUUGCUGUCACUUAUAGAUGGAUCCGCGCUGCAUUAGCUAGUUGGUAAGGUAACGGCUUACCAAGGCAACGAUGCAUAGCCGACCUGAGAGGGUGAUCGGCCACACUGGAACUGAGACACGGUCCAGACUCCUACGAGAGGCAGCAGUAGGGAAUCUUCCGCAAUGGGCGAAAGCCUGACGGAGCAACGCCGCGUGAGUGAUGAAGGUCUUCGGAUCGUAAAACUCUGUUAUUAGGGAAGAACAUAUGUGUAAGUAACUGUGCACAUCUUGACGGUACCUAAUCAGAAAGCCACGGCUAACUACGUG
rnacentral:rRNA from 1 species